GUAGACACCAUGACCCAGUUGUGUAAACA
rnacentral:piRNA from 1 species